UACGAAGGGGGCUAGCGUUGCUCGGAAUCACUGGGCGUAAAGGGUGCGUAGGCGGGUUUUUAAGCCAGGGGUGAAAUCCUGGAGCUCAACUCCAGAACUGCCUUUGAUACUGAAGAUCUUGAGUUCGGGAGAGGUGAGUGGAACUGCGAGUGUAGAGGUGAAAUUCGUAGAUAUUCGCAAGAACACCAGUGGCGAAGGCGGCUCACUGGCCCGAUACUGACGCUGAGGCACGAAAGCGUGGGGAGCAAACAGG
rnacentral:rRNA from 1 species